rnacentral:rRNA from 1 species
GACGAACGCUGGCGGCGUGCUUAACACAUGCAAGUCGAACGGGAACCUUUAUUUCGGUAAAGGUGAGAGUGGCAAACGGGUGAGUAACACGUAGGCAACCUGCCGACAGGAUGGGGACAACAUUCCGAAAGGAAUGCUAAUACCGAAUGGAGUCCAGGGAUGGCAUCAUCCCUGGAUAAAAGAUGGCCUCUGAAUAUGCUAUCACCUGUCGAUGGGCCUGCGUCUGAUUAGCCAGUUGGCGGGGUAACGGCCCACCAAAGCGACGAUCAGUAGCCGGUCUGAGAGGAUGAACGGCCACAUUGGGACUGAGACACGGCCCAGACUCCUACGGGAGGCAGCAGUGGGGAAUCUUCCACAAUGGGCGAAAGCCCUGAUGGAGCAAACGCCGCGUGAGUGAAGAAGGUCUUUCGGAUUCG